rnacentral:rRNA from 1 species
GACGAACGCUGGCGGCGUGCCUAACACAUGCAAGUUGAGCGACGAACCAGGGCUUGCCCUGGGGCAAAGCAGCGAACGGGUGAGUAACACGUGGGUAACCUGCCCCGAUGACCGGGACCGAACCCGAACGGAAACUACGAGCUAAUACCGGAGUGUGGCCACUGGACUCAAGUCCGGUUGUCAAAGGAAGCUUCGGCCUCCGCAUUGGGAGGGGCCCGGUGGCCCAUUAGCUAGUUGGUGAGGUAAGAGC